ACGGGAGGCAGCAGUGGGGAAUAUUGCACAAUGGGCGCAAGCCUGAUGCAGCGAUGCCGCGUGCGGGAAGAAGGCUUUCGGAUUGUAAACCUCUGUCAUCGGGGACGAUAAUGACUGUACCCGAGAGGGAAGCUCCGGCUAACUACGUGCCAGCAGCCGCGGUAAUACGUAGGGAGCGAGCGUUAUCCGGAAUUACUGGGUGUAAAGGGAGUGUAGGCGGGACUGUAAGGCAGAUGUGAAAUAUACCGGCUCAACUGGUAGACUGCAUUUGAAACUGCGGGUCUUGAGUGAAGUAGAGGGAAGCGGAAUUCCUAGUGUAGCGGUGAAAUGCGUAGAUAUUAGGAGGAACAUCAGUGGCGAAGGCGGCUUACUGGGCUCUAACUGACGCUGAGGCUCGAAAGCGUGGGGAGCAAACAGGAUUAGAUACCCUGGUA
rnacentral:rRNA from 1 species